UCCAAUAAAGUUGUUUUCCCCGCCUUGUCAAUUCCAAGAAUGAGCACAUGAAACUCUGUCUUACUGAAUAAAUACUUCCAAAGACCAUAGAACAAUGAGAACAUUUCUGAUAUUUAGAAAUUUAAUUAUUACUUGCUCCUUCAAACCUUCAGGCGUAGGAGAGAUGGAACUUCAUAAUUCGAACUUGAUCUCCAUGAUGCGCGCUUCUUGAAAAUCCUGAAAUUUUGAUGCUUGAGAUGAGAGAAACGAAGACCGAGAUCUCCUGCUAGGUUCAGUUUUCCGGUUAAGUCUGCGAAUCGGCCUCUUAAUCACUAACAGAACACACAUACACAGUCUCCGUCUCUACCGGCGCUCUUAUUCACAUAACCUGUUCGGUUUAUGCAAGGCUUUCAUCGUCCUUGUUUUUCAAUUUUCUUUUUCUUUGACAUAUUCAUUCCCCAUUUUAUCCCUUUGAUGAUG
rnacentral:misc_RNA from 1 species